rnacentral:lncRNA from 1 species
GGACCCAAGAAAAAUUAUAAGUUAAUUCUGCCAGAUAAACACUUGCAGAGCCCCAUCACACACACACACACACACACACACACACACAAUGUAAGGAACCCUGAAGCUUGUUAUUCUUGGAAUUAUUGUCAAAUUUUGAUCGCUAUCCAAAUGAAGAAUGAAGACUAUCUGUCCACUAAUACUAAAAAGGAACACUAUUCACUAUCACAUGAAUGUCAUAGUUGCUGGGCAACAAGAAAUCUUUCAGUGUCUGGGAAGGCCUCAUGUCCACAUUGCACCCAAAUGCUCACCAAUCUCUUAAUGAAACAAUUUCCUCUUUUAAAAAUUUUGGUUUUAUCUCUUCCACUUUAUAUUUCCAGAUUACAUAGAUAAAAAAUUUUAACAAUCAUUUUUUAACAUUCUGAGUUCCAAUUUUUUCCCUUCAUUCCACCCCACCCACACUUGAGAAGACAAGCACUUUAAUUUUGUUGAUACAUAUGAGGUCAUGCAAACAUCAUUUCCAUAUUGGUCAUGUUGCAAAAGAAAACACAAGCAUAAUAAAAAUGUUUUUUUAAAGAAUACACUGAUUUGCAUUCUGAGUUCAUCAGUUCUUUCUCUGGGAGUAGAUAGCAUUUUUUUUUAUCUUGGGUCCUUUGGAACUGGUUCAAUGUCCUUUUCUUUUUUAAAUUUUUUAUUGUCAUUCAAAGUACACUUCCAUAUUGGUCACUGUUGUAAGAGCACACUCAUACAGAACCAAAACCCCAAAAUAAAACUGUAAAUACACUGAUGUGAAAUUUGACUCCAACAGUUCUUUCUCUGGAAGUGGAUGGCAGUCCCUAUUAAUGCCUUUCAGAAUUGUCCAAGAUCAUCGCAUUGCUGCAGUGACAGUGAAUCAUGAACAUUUUCAGGGCUUACCAAGCUGUCAAGGCCCUGAGUCCAAAGCCAGACUGUCUUCUGAGAAUCACUCUAACCUCUUCCAGCAGCCUGUUCAAGAAGUCUCUCUCCUCAAGCUGGUAUCUCACAGGGCCAGAUAUCUUGUAGAUGGUGGAAAUUUCAGCUACCUCCAAAAGCCUCAGCCAGAAGACUCUUUUUGGUUGGAACCACACCCCCUUGGAACCUAGACCCAGGCUCUCACGUGAUUCUGAGUCACAUGCUCCUGCCAAUCAUUUUGCAGUCUGUCUGCUUACUACACUUUGAACUCAAAUUCAUUGACUCAAGGACCAGAGGUCUAGCCAUUUCAAGGUCUCAAGAGCUGAACUGUUAAGUACUAUUGCCCAAGACCUGAGUGUGGAGAGAUCUAUCAUCAAAUUAGCUACAGAGCAAUGAUUUUUAAAAAUAUUUAUUUAUUUGUUAUUUGUUCAUUUAUUUAUUUGUUUACUUAUUUUUAAGCCACAACAACUCUAAAAGAUGAUCUAUUAAAUUAAAGCAAGGUCUAAUCUAUGUUGGGGAUGAGAGUAUUCACAGCAACAAAAUUUUGACUUCUUAAAUCUUCAAUGAACAGCUAUAGACGCUACGAUCCAAUAAGUCUGUACAAUUGCACAUGUGUGAUGAGACCUGAAAAGAGAACACAGUCUAGAGCAGGCAGGCUAGAGUUGGGCUGAAGCAUGUCUGUGAAGGAUAUAUAACCUAUAAUUCUGCCCUCUGGCCACUGAGCUUCUGUACAAAUCCAAUGAACAAAGAUGGCCACUGCUUAUCUCUCUUACCAGCAGCUACACAGCUGCAGAACAAAUUGCCUCCAGCUGCUAAGGCAUCCUUACCUCCCUGGGGUCUAGUCUUAGUCAGCUGCAAGAAUACUGACCUAGACAAAAGGGAAGGGCAGACCCUUCUUAGACCUUACCCAGAUGAGGAUGCUACUCGAUUCUG